GUCUGUAUGAACGCUAUAUAGAGUCUGGCCUGCCCACUGAUAUAAAUUAAAGGGCCGCGGUAUCUUGACCGUGCGAAGGUAGCAUAAUCAUUAGUCUUUUAAUUGAAGGCUUGUAUGAAUGGUUGGACAAAAAGUAAGCUGUCUCAUGUGUAUAAUUUGAAAUUAACUUUUAAGUGAAAAGGCUUAAAUAAUUUGGUGGGACGAUAAGACCCUAUAAAGCUUUACAGUGGUAGAAGUAUGUCAUAAUUUGUUAGUGUUACUUGGCUAAGUUUAAAGCUGUUUCGUUGGGGCGACGGAAAUAUAAUUGAAUAACUGUUUUUAAGUUAGCUAACAAUGCUAUUUGGGUAAAAUUGAUCCUUUAUUAAAGAUUAAAAGAUUAAGUUACUUUAGGGAUAACAGCGUAAUCUUCUUUGAGAGUCCAGAUCGACAAGAAGGGUUGCGACCUCGAUGUUGAAUUAAGAGUUCCUUGUGGUGUAGCAGUUGCAAAGGAAGGUCUGUUCGACCUUUAAAUUCUU
rnacentral:rRNA from 1 species